GCAGCGGUAGUUCAGUCGGUUAGAAUACCGGCCUGUCACGCCGGGGGUCGCGGGUUCGAGUCCCGUUAGGAA
rnacentral:tRNA from 1 species